rnacentral:rRNA from 1 species
AUGAGUACAACCAAGGUGAAGAGGCGUGUGGGCAAGUAUGAGCUAGGGCGGACCAUCGGCGAGGGCACCUUCGCCAAGGUCAGGUUCGCCAGGAACACCGAGACCGGGGACCCCGUUGCCAUCAAGAUCUUGGACAAGGAGAAGCUUCUCAAGCACAAGAUGGUCGAGCAGAUCAAGCGGGAAAUUGCAACGAUGAAGUUGAUUAAGCAUCCCAAUGUUGUCUGCAUACACGAGGUGAUGGGAAGCAAAACCAAGAUCUACAUUGUUCUGGAAUACGUCACCGGCGGCGAGCUCUUUGACACAAUUGUUAACCAUGGCAGAAUGAGGGAAGAUGAGGCAAGGAGAUACUUCCAACAGUUGAUUAAUGCGGUUGAUUAUUGCCAUAGCAGGGGGGUGUACCACCGUGAUUUAAAACCAGAAAAUCUAUUACUUGAUUCAUGUGGAAAUCUGAAGGUGUCUGAUUUUGGGCUGAGCGCGCUAUCUCAGCAGCUCAAGGAUGAUGGAUUACUGCACACGACCUGCGGCACUCCAAAUUAUGUUGCACCGGAGGUCCUCGAAGAUCAAGGCUAUGAUGGCGCAAUGGCAGAUUUGUGGUCAUGUGGAGUAAUUCUGUUUGUUCUGCUAGCAGGGUAUUUGCCUUUUGAGGACUCUAAUCUUAUGGCCUUGUAUAAGAAAAUAUCAGAUGCAGAGUUUACGUUUCCGCCUUGGACGUCUUUUCCUGCCAAGAGGUUGUUAACAAGAAUCCUUGAUCCAAAUCCGAUGACGAGAAUAACAGUUCAAGAAAUGUUAGAGGAUGAGUGGUUCAAGAAAGGUUACAAGCGUGCGGAGUUUGAUGAGAAGUAUGACACAACACUGGACGAUGUGGAUGCUGUCUUCAAUGAUUCAGAAGAGCACCAUGUAACAGAAAAGAAAGAAGAAGAACCAGUAGCUCUGAAUGCAUUUGAACUGAUUUCAAUGUCAGCAGGCCUUAAUCUUGGAAAUUUAUUCGACUCUGAGCAAGAAUUUAAAAGAGAAACAAGGUUUACAUCUAAAAGCUCGCCUAAAGAAAUUCUCCGCAAGAUCGAAGAAGCUGCAAAGCCUCUAGGAUUUGAUAUUCACAAGAAAAAUUACAAGCUGAGACUAGAGAAGGUAAAAGCAGGAAGGAAGGGGAAACUCAAUGUUGCUACCGAGAUACUGCGAGUCGGGCCUUCUCUUCAUAUGGUUGAAGUUCGCAAAGCAAAAGGCGACACUCUAGAAUUUCACAAGUUCUACAAGAACCUUUCAAACACCUUGAAGGACGUUGUAUGGAAAUCCGACGAUCUUCAGAUCCAACCUUCCUAG